rnacentral:lncRNA from 1 species
AAAAUUAAAAACCAAAUGUGUGAAAAUAAUAGAAAUAAAAACAUAUCAGUCAUCUUGUGGCCUUUAACAAUGAGUAAAACCCAUACCAUAUAGUGAGCUAUAAAACUAAAGGCCUUAGAAUGACAAAUGUAAAACAAUUCAAUCGAGAAAACUAACAGCUUGAUUUAUGUACAAAACAAUAUACUUUACACAAUGUCAGUAUACCACAACUAACAACUACCACUGAAGUACAGGCUCCUGACUUGGGACAGUCACAUACAAAAUGUGGCAGUGUUCAAUAUGUUAACUAGUAUCAAGACCUCCCCCUUACCAAGGACAAUGGUGUAACAGUAUAACAAAAGAUAAAAAUACAAAAAGCAGUUGAAAAGCAAUAAAGACCCA